rnacentral:tRNA from 1 species
GCAAGUGUGGUUCAGUGGUAGAAUGUUUGCUUUACAUAUAGAAGGUACCAGGUUCAAUUCCUGAUAUCUCCA